UGCCACUUCACAUGAGGGCUACACUGC
rnacentral:piRNA from 1 species